UACGUAGGGGGCAAGCGUUGUCCGGAAUCAUUGGGCGUAAAGAGCGUGUAGGCGGCUCGGUAAGUCCGCUCUGAAAGCCCGGGGCUCAACCCCGGGAGGCGGGCGGAUACUGUCGGGCUAGAGUCCGGAAGAGGAGAGUGGAAUUCCUGGUGUAGCGGUGAAAUGCGCAGAUAUCAGGAGGAACACCGGUGGCGAAGGCGGGUCUCUGGGCCGAUAUCGACGCUGAGGAGCGAAAGCGUGGGGAGCGAACAGG
rnacentral:rRNA from 1 species